CUUGAGACUCGCUAAGCGUCCCAGCCGCAUCCCUCUCGCAGCGACGGCGGCCCGGGACCCGCGGGCUGUGAACCAUGUACACCCGCAAUAGAGUGGUGAGCUCCGGGCUCGGCCCCUCCCCUGCCUCCCGCCCGACCCGGGAUCCCCAGGACCCUUAUGGGCGGCACGGGGAGCUGAGCCCCGUGGAAGACCAGAGACAGGGUUUGGAGGCAGCCCCGGAGAGCCCUUCGCGGGAGAGCGUCGUGCACGCGGGCCAGAGGCAGACAAGUGCAUAUACCUUGAUAGCACCAAAUAUAAACCGGAGAAAUGAGAUACAAAGAAAGUGAACAUUUAGGAAAUGAGCCCUGCUCCCCAGGAAGCUGACUCUGCACAGUGGUCUGGAGUGCCUGAAACCAGAGCGAGGGUCUCCACCUGUGGCACCGAGCCCUCACUCCCUAGAGUUGCAGUAAGCUUGGGAGCAUUGAACAUAAAGCGAGUAUGGGCAUCAGAAUUCUCUGGGGAUAGGUUUACCUAUGUGUGGAAAGUUCUUGUUGACGUGAAAAUAUUCUAGUUUUGCACACAUUUUCUAUAGGAAACUUUAAAAAUUAACUUGAUAUAG
rnacentral:sRNA from 1 species